AUGUUUAAGUGUGAAGUGCGGUACCUUGGGAGGAUUGUGUCUAAGGAAGGAAGUAAAAUGGAUCCGGCCAACACAGCUGCCGUGACAAAUCUGAAAGAGAAAAGACCUGGUACAGUUGGGCAACUGAGAGCAGUCAUGGGCCUGCUAAGCUACUAUCGGCAGUAUAUAAAAGAUUUCUCAAGGAUCGCGGGACCUUUGUAUGACCUGCUGAAACAAACUGAGACUAACAAAGAGGAGUUCAGAGAGACAAGGAAUCAAAAGUGGAAAGGUAAGAAUAGGGGAUUGCCCUCUCAAACGCCAAUUGUGUGGACAGACAAGCACCAAGAGAUACUGGAUGGACUGGUAGACUGUCUGGUUGAGUCUCCAGUUCUCGCAUUUUCCGACUUCUCACAGCCAUUCGUACUUCAUACUGAUGCAUCAAAUCAGGGACUUGGAGCUGUUUUGUAUCAAAAACAAGAGGGAAAGCUUAGAGUCAUUACUUACGGGUCUCGAACUUUGACAGCUACAGAAAAGAAAUACCACCUCCACUCAGACAAGCUGGAGUUCCUGGCCCUAAAGUGGGCUGUCACCGAAAAAUUCAAGGAUUAUUUGUACUAUGCACCCACAUUUACUGUGUAUAGUGAUAAUAAUCCGCUAACCUAUGUCUUGACCAGUGCAAAGCUAAAUGCGGCGGGAUAUAGAUGGGUGGCAGAACUUGCGGAUUUUCAUUUUAACAUCAAAUACAGGCCAGGCAAAGAAAAUGUGGACACAGACACCCUAUCUAGAAUGCCCCUGGAUAUUGAGACAAUAAUGAAAGAAUGCACAGAAGAAUUACCAUCUGACUGUGUCGAAGCAACCAUCCAGUCGGUAGAGGCACCGUAUGCCAACCUCUCCUCGAUUGCAAUGAUUUCUCUUGAUGACACCCUGACAUCCGAGCAUGUAUGUGAGCCAUUGCCUGUGGAUGAGAUCAGACAAGCACAGCGCAAUGAUGACCACAUUGGACCCAUUUUACAGUUUAAGAUGUCUGACAGGAAGCCAACAAGACAUAUGUUUAAAACUUUGAGUGAACAAAGUAAAUGCUUACUGCGAAGUUGGGACAAACUUAUCCUGGGAGACAAUGGUAUCCUCCGUAGAAAAACAAACACCAAGACACAGCUAGUCUUACCUGUGAAGUACAAGCAACAUGUGUUGAAAGAAUUAUAUGACAACAUGGGACAUCAAGGCCUAGAUCGGGCAAUGUCCUUGAUCAGAGAAAGGUUCUAUUGGCCAAAAAUGCACUAUGAUGUUGAUCAUUAUGUGACCAAAAGUUGUGCUUGCCUGAAACAAAAGAAACCAUGUAAGGAGACCAGAGCACCUCUCCAAAAUAUUGUCACUACUCACCCAUUCGAACUGGUUUCAAUUGAUUUCUUACAUUUGGAUAAGUGUAAGGGGGGGUAUGAAUAUAUAUUGGUCAUAGUUGAUCACGAGAUUCGUGCAAGCAUAUGCCACCACUUCUAA
ensembl:lncRNA